AGUGAACGCUGGCGGUAGGCCUAACACAUGCAAGUCGAACGGCAGCACAGUAAGAGCUUGCUCUUACGGGUGGCGAGUGGCGGACGGGUGCGGAAUACAUCGGAAUCUACUUUUUCGUGGGGGAUAACGUAGGGAAACUUACGCUAAUACCGCAUACGACCUACGGGUGAAAGCAGGGGAUCUUCGGACCUUGCGCGAUCGAAUGAGCCGAUGUCGGAUUAGCUAGUUGGCGGGGUAAAGGCCCACCAAGGCGACGAUCCGUAGCUGGUCUGAGAGGAUGAUCAGCCACACUGGAACUGAGACACGGUCCAGACUCCUACGGGAGGCAGCAGUGGGGAAUAUUGGACAAUGGGCGCAAGCCUGAUCCAGCCAUACCGCGUGGGUGAAGAAGGCCUUCGGGUUGUAAAGCCCUUUUGUUGGGAAAGAAAAGCAGCAGGUUAAUACCCCGCUGUUCUGACGGUACCCAAAGAAUAAGCACCGGCUAACUUCGUG
rnacentral:rRNA from 1 species